rfam:Mesocricetus auratus contig048875, whole genome shotgun sequence.
AAUGUGUCUCGGCUUUUUGACUAAGAUAAAGUGUAGUAUCUGUUCUUAUCAACUUAAUAAAUACAACCUCCUUAGUCUGGAUAAUGUUACUUGUAUAUAUGUUUUCAGGGUUAAUCUUUGGUAUUGGAUGACCAAUAGGUAUGCUCAUUCCUGGGAAAGACAAUUUCUCCCACUGUCAACAUUCC